rnacentral:misc_RNA from 1 species
CAGAGUACCGGUGCCCUCUGGGCGCCUACUCCAACCCUUUGUAUUCCCAAAAAACCGUUGCUUUGGCGGGCCGAUGCACCCGCGUCGCCGGCACAUGCUGGAGGGCGCCCGCCAGAGGCCAACUAAACGAUGCUCAACAUUGACGUCUGAGUGAAAACAAAUGAAUCA